rnacentral:RNase_P_RNA from 1 species
UUUUCCCCCUCCAAAACAUUUUAUUUGAAUGUUUUUAAACUAGAAUCUGUUUGAAGAGAAUUUGAAGAAUUCUUUGGAAAGUUUGGAUCACUCAUAACAUUAGAAUAAUAUUUGUUUAAAGUGGUUAAUAAAAAAGAAACCCAAGAGGGUAAAUCUACUAAUAUUAAAGAAAGAAGAAUUCAGAAUUUAAUUCUGAAAGUGUUAAAAUAGUAGUUCAUUUUUAAUUUUUAGUAAUUUCAAAUAUAACAGAAUCCAUCUUAUAAGAUUCCUAGUU